UUGGCUCUCUCUGUUAUCUCUUUGUCUUCUUCUUUACGAUUAUACUACAAAACGUUAUCACCACGAUGCUCAUCCGUUGCCGCAAAGAACAACAAGAAAAACAAAAAAAAAAUAUAUAAAAAAAUAAUAAUCAGCGAAUGGGUUUUUACACUCCCAUCAUUUCUUUCUUCAAACAGAUCCGGGAAAAAAAAGGAAAAAACAAGCUAGAUUAGAUUUGGAAAUGAAAUCAAUAAUCGGCUGUAGAGGAGGGAGAGAAUUUGAGGCAGUUCAUAGAGAUCUCGUCUUUUCUUGGGAUAUCAUAUGUUCCUCGAAAACCUGUUCCUCUUCUUCUUCAAAAAAGAAAUGAAACCGUUCGUCUACCGCUGAGCCGAAAUCUCUGUCCCAUUGGAUUUGUGCUUCUGUUCCUGAAACGAAUCGAAAACGGUAUGCCUAUUGUUCAUCCCAAACGCGGUUGAGUAUUCCGUCGCUCGGGAUUCUGUUACGAUCUGGAAAAGAGGAGAAGAAAUAGCAGGUUCGGUCCAUCCUACCCAGUCUGGUCCACCCGAAUCCGGUCCGGUCCACUCGAACCUAGUCCUGUCCAUCCUUGUUCCAGCUGUGUGGCCUGUUUCGACCCUGUUCCAGUUGUGUGUCAUAUUCCGUUCUAUUCUCUGUUUACGGGCCGUGCGCGACCAAGGAAGUUCCGGUCUCGUUUAUAUAAAGUGGGACCAAUACAUGUACAUGUAUAUGAUAUGAGGUAUGUAACUAAUAUUAUUUGGACUUUUACAUUGAAUACCUGCUGGGCUUAUUUAUUUAUCUUUUAGAACGUGUCUAGUUCUGUUUUUUUUUCUUCAGAUAAGUGAGUGUUGAUCUCAAUCAUUAAGAAUUUUGGUCUUAAUGUUAUUUUGUUCUUUUAAAUAUGGUAUUGGCUAUAGUUGAAUGAUGUCUUUUGUACAAUUGGUUGUACCAACUUGAUUCAAAUGUAUGUAUUUGGGGUUUAGAAGUACAUGAACACCAUUAUUGCAUAUUUGGUAUUUUCUCCCCAAACUUGAAUGUUCUGUGGAAUGUAAUACACUUGCGUGACUAUUAAAGAGUCGAUUGUUUCAAAAGAUACAUUGCAAAUAAAAUCACAUGUUUUCCA